AGAGUUUGAUCAUGGCUCAGGAUGAACGCUAGCUACAGGCUUAACACAUGCAAGUCGAGGGGAAACGACAUCGAAAGCUUGCUUUUGAUGGGCGUCGACCGGCGCACGGGUGAGUAACGCGUAUCCAACCUGCCCACCACUUGGGGAUAACCUUGCGAAAGUAAGACUAAUACCCAAUGAUAUCUCUAGAAGACAUCUGAAAGAGAUUAAAGAUUUAUCGGUGAUGGAUGGGGAUGCGUCUGAUUAGCUUGUUGGCGGGGUAACGGCCCACCAAGGCAGCGAUCAGUAGGGGUUCUGAGAGGAAGGUCCCCCACAUUGGAACUGAGACACGGUCCAAACUCCUACGGGAGGCAGCAGUGAGGAAUAUUGGUCAAUGGGCGAGAGCCUGAACCAGCCAAGUAGCGUGCAGGACGACGGCCCUAUGGGUUGUAAACUGCUUUUAUAAGGGAAUAAAGUGAGUCUCGUGAGACUUUUUGCAUGUACCUUAUGAAUAAGGACCGGCUAAUUCCGUGCCAGCAGCCGCGGUAAUACGGAAGGUCCGGACGUUAUCCGGAUUUACUGGGUGUAAAGGGAGCGUAGACGGUUUUGCAAGUCUGAAGUGAAAGCCCGGGGCUUAACCCCGGGACUGCUUUGGAAACUGUAGAACUAGAGUGCAGGAGAGGUAAGUGGAAUUCCUAGUGUAGCGGUGAAAUGCGUAGAUAUUAGGAGGAACACAGUGGCGAAGGCGGCUUACUGGACUGUAACUGACGUUGAGGCUCGAAAGCGUGGGGAGCAAACGGGAUUAGAUACCCUGGUAGUCCACGCCGUAAACGAUGAUUACUAGGUGUUGGUGGGUACGACCCAUCGGUGCCGCAGCAAACGCAAUAAGUAAUCCACCUGGGGAGUACGUUCGCAAGAAUGAAACUCAAAGGAAUUGACGGGGACCCGCACAAGCGGUGGAGCAUGUGGUUUAAUUCGAAGCAACGCAAAGAACCUUACCUGGUCUUGACAUCCCUAUGAAUAACGGGCAAUGCCGUUAGUACUUCGGUACAUAGGAGACAGGUGGUGCAUGGUUGUCGUCAGCUCGUGUCGUGAGAUGUUGGGUUAAGUCCCGCAACGAGCGCAACCCUUAUCUUUAGUAGCCAGCAGUAAGAUGGGCACUCUAGAGAGACUGCCGGGGAUAACCCGGAGGAAGGUGGGGAUGACGUCAAAUCAUCAUGCCCCUUAUGACCAGGGCUACACACGUGCUACAAUGGCGUAAACAAAGAGAAGCGAAGUCGUGAGGCAGAGCGAAUCUCAAAAAUAACGUCUCAGUUCGGAUUGUAGUCUGCAACUCGACUACAUGAAGCUGGAAUCGCUAGUAAUCGCAGAUCAGAAUGCUGCGGUGAAUACGUUCCCGGGUCUUGUACACACCGCCCGUCACACCAUGGGAGUCGGAAAUGCCCGAAGUCGGUGACCUAACCGCAAGGAAGGAGCCGCCGAAGGCAGGUCUGAUAACUGGGGUGAAGUCGUAACAAGGUA
rnacentral:rRNA from 1 species